GCAUGGCUGAAUACUGUGUUCUUUUCAUCAGUAGUUGAAACACAGCCAGACACAUUGUAAAAGAACAAUCUUCCCUUUAGGUGGUUAUGAUGGUUGCUAAGUUUUUUUAAUAGCAUAUCAUUAUUAAAGGUAAAUACUAGU